UUAAGCGACUAAGCGUACACGGUGGAUGCCCUGGCAGUCAGAGGCGAUGAAGGACGUGCUAAUCUGCGAUAAGCGUCGGUAAGGUGAUAUGAACCGUUAUAACCGGCGAUUUCCGAAUGGGGAAACCCAGUGUGAUUCGUCACACUAUCAUUAACUGAAUCCAUAGGUUAAUGAGGCGAACCGGGGGAACUGAAACAUCUAAGUACCCCGAGGAAAAGAAAUCAACCGAGAUUCCCCCAGUAGCGGCGAGCGAACGGGGAGGAGCCCAGAGCCUGAAUCAGUGUGUGUGUUAGUGGAAGCGUCUGGAAAGGCGCGCGAUACAGGGUGACAGCCCCGUACACAAAAAUGCACAUACUGUGAGCUCGAUGAGUAGGGCGGGACACGUGGUAUCCUGUCUGAAUAUGGGGGGACCAUCCUCCAAGGCUAAAUACUCCUGACUGACCGAUAGUGAACCAGUACCGUGAGGGAAAGGCGAAAAGAACCCCGGCGAGGGGAGUGAAAAAGAACCUGAAACCGUGUACGUACAAGCAGUGGAGGCACGCUUCGGCGUGUGACUGCGUACCUUUUGUAUAAUGGGUCAGCGACUUAUAUUCUGUAGCAAGGUUAACCGAAUAGGGGAGCCGAAGGGAAACCGAGUCUUAACUGGGCGUUAAGUUGCAGGGUAUAGACCCGAAACCCGGUGAUCUAGCCAUGGGCAGGUUGAAGGUUGGGUAACACUAACUGGAGGACCGAACCGACUAAUGUUGAAAAAUUAGCGGAUGACUUGUGGCUGGGGGUGAAAGGCCAAUCAAACCGGGAGAUAGCUGGUUCUCCCCGAAAGCUAUUUAGGUAGCGCCUCGUGAAUUCAUCUCCGGGGGUAGAGCACUGUUUCGGCAAGGGGGUCAUCCCGACUUACCAACCCGAUGCAAACUGCGAAUACCGGAGAAUGUUAUCACGGGAGACACACGGCGGGUGCUAACGUCCGUCGUGAAGAGGGAAACAACCCAGACCGCCAGCUAAGGUCCCAAAGUCAUGGUUAAGUGGGAAACGAUGUGGGAAGGCCCAGACAGCCAGGAUGUUGGCUUAGAAGCAGCCAUCAUUUAAAGAAAGCGUAAUAGCUCACUGGUCGAGUCGGCCUGCGCGGAAGAUGUAACGGGGCUAAACCAUGCACCGAAGCUGCGGCAGCGACACUAUGUGUUGUUGGGUAGGGGAGCGUUCUGUAAGCCUGUGAAGGUGUACUGUGAGGUAUGCUGGAGGUAUCAGAAGUGCGAAUGCUGACAUAAGUAACGAUAAAGCGGGUGAAAAGCCCGCUCGCCGGAAGACCAAGGGUUCCUGUCCAACGUUAAUCGGGGCAGGGUGAGUCGACCCCUAAGGCGAGGCCGAAAGGCGUAGUCGAUGGGAAACAGGUUAAUAUUCCUGUACUUGGUGUUACUGCGAAGGGGGGACGGAGAAGGCUAUGUUGGCCGGGCGACGGUUGUCCCGGUUUAAGCGUGUAGGCUGGUUUUCCAGGCAAAUCCGGAAAAUCAAGGCUGAGGCGUGAUGACGAGGCACUACGGUGCUGAAGCAACAAAUGCCCUGCUUCCAGGAAAAGCCUCUAAGCAUCAGGUAACAUCAAAUCGUACCCCAAACCGACACAGGUGGUCAGGUAGAGAAUACCAAGGCGCUUGAGAGAACUCGGGUGAAGGAACUAGGCAAAAUGGUGCCGUAACUUCGGGAGAAGGCACGCUGAUAUGUAGGUGAAGCGACUUGCUCGUGGAGCUGAAAUCAGUCGAAGAUACCAGCUGGCUGCAACUGUUUAUUAAAAACACAGCACUGUGCAAACACGAAAGUGGACGUAUACGGUGUGACGCCUGCCCGGUGCCGGAAGGUUAAUUGAUGGGGUUAGCGGUAACGCGAAGCUCUUGAUCGAAGCCCCGGUAAACGGCGGCCGUAACUAUAACGGUCCUAAGGUAGCGAAAUUCCUUGUCGGGUAAGUUCCGACCUGCACGAAUGGCGUAAUGAUGGCCAGGCUGUCUCCACCCGAGACUCAGUGAAAUUGAACUCGCUGUGAAGAUGCAGUGUACCCGCGGCAAGACGGAAAGACCCCGUGAACCUUUACUAUAGCUUGACACUGAACAUUGAGCCUUGAUGUGUAGGAUAGGUGGGAGGCUUUGAAGUGUGGACGCCAGUCUGCAUGGAGCCGGCCUUGAAAUACCACCCUUUAAUGUUUGAUGUUCUAACGUUGGCCCCUAAUCGGGGUUGCGGACAGUGUCUGGUGGGUAGUUUGACUGGGGCGGUCUCCUCCUAAAGAGUAACGGAGGAGCACGAAGGUUGGCUAAUCCUGGUCGGACAUCAGGAGGUUAGUGCAAUGGCAUAAGCCAGCUUGACUGCGAGCGUGACGGCGCGAGCAGGUGCGAAAGCAGGUCAUAGUGAUCCGGUGGUUCUGAAUGGAAGGGCCAUCGCUCAACGGAUAAAAGGUACUCCGGGGAUAACAGGCUGAUACCGCCCAAGAGUUCAUAUCGACGGCGGUGUUUGGCACCUCGAUGUCGGCUCAUCACAUCCUGGGGCUGAAGUAGGUCCCAAGGGUAUGGCUGUUCGCCAUUUAAAGUGGUACGCGAGCUGGGUUUAGAACGUCGUGAGACAGUUCGGUCCCUAUCUGCCGUGGGCGCUGGAGAACUGAGGGGGGCUGCUCCUAGUACGAGAGGACCGGAGUGGACGCAUCACUGGUGUUCGGGUUGUCAUGCCAAUGGCACUGCCCGGUAGCUAAAUGCGGAAGAGAUAAGUGCUGAAAGCAUCUAAGCACGAAACUUGCCCCGAGAUGAGUUCUCCCUGACUCCUUGAGAGUCCUGAAGGAACGUUGAAGACGACGACGUUGAUAGGCCGGGUGUGUAAGCGCAGCGAUGCGUUGAGCUAACCGGUACUAAUGAGCCGUGAGGCUUAACCUU
rnacentral:rRNA from 1 species